UGGGGGAGGUGAGGACACUGGAGGGUAGGUAGGAAAAACAUUUUUUGUUGAAGCUGGACAAAAGAUUUUCCCAGGGACCCAAAAUAUUAACUUCUGACUUCAACUAGCAUUUCCCAUUUAUUUAAGAUGGCUUUUUGAGGUUGAAUUCAGGUAAUAACAUCAAUUCAGUGAAAAUGUAACUUCAGCUAGAGAGCUAUAGAAAAAAUGUUUGACCAAGUCAAAUAUUUUUUUCCAAUACUAAAGUUCACAUAUUUCUAUGAAAUGAUAACAGAAAAUUUCUUAUAAAUAUCUGUUUAACAAAAAUAAUUUUGUUAAGGUAAGCUAGAUUCAUGUCAUAAAUGUACAUAUGUAUGUAGAGUUCAUUUGUACAGAGCAAAACUUGAUAAUUUUUCACUUUCAGCUUUCCAGGAGGUUUUCUUAAUCCUCAAAGUGGUUACAAAGAUCCACUGUAUUAUUUAUAACUAGGUAAGAGAAAAAAUGAAUAGUAAAAACUGAAAGUCUUUUAGUAUGGCUUUAUUUUAGGAUUGCUCACUGGCGGGUACCCAAACUUUUAUUGUUUCUGAAUCUGUGAUUUCGAAAAUAGUUCACAACUCAAGAAUCUGAGAACAAUAAACCUGUAACAAUAGCUCCCUCCCAGAUGGAGCUGUAGUUCAGAUUUAGAAAAUUAAUACAAUCUUUAAAUGUAAUGGGAGAAUUUUAAUGAAGAAUUCAUUCCUAUGAACUCACCCCCAUAUCCACACUGUCAGAGUAGAGUAUUCUAAGCUGUAGCAUUCUUUUUAACCUUUUAGUGCUGAGGUUUCCUUUGAGAAUUUGAGGAAAACUGUGCGUAAACACCUUAAGCCCAUCUAGCAACCAGUCCUUCACUGCUGCUCUCCUUCAGGGCUUUUAUGAAGUGAAGAACCCCUAAACCAGGGGAGGGACCAGAAGACAUUAUUUCAUCAGUCCUCCAUGUCUGUGAGUUCUGUAUCCCCAGAGCCUAUGGACCAUAGAUCAAAAAUAUUUGAAAAAAAUUACAAUGGUACUUAACUGGGUGUUCUUAUCGUUGUUUCUUAAACAAUUCAAUACAGCAACUAUUUACCUGGCAUUUAUAUUGUAUCAUGUUUGAUAAGUAAUCUAGGGAUGGUUUACACAUAUACAUACAGAUUACAUGCAUUACUGUGCCAUGUUACAGAAGGGACUUAAGCAUGGUUAGGUGAGUUCCCCUGGGGUUCCACACUGAUUCCUUUGUGGAUGUGGACGGAUGACUGCCCUUGGUCCUUAGGCACUGACCCUCUUUGUUACAGCCAGCACAAGUCCCUGCGUGAUAGGAGAGAAAUAGCGCAACUCCCACCUGGUAGGAGUCUCAGAGACAAGACAUGGUCUUGCUGUCAGAGGGAGGCAGGACUCCCUCGGAGAUCUCAAGUGCCUCAGGUAGGAGAUCCACUGCAAUUUUAUUACAUGUCUUUACUUUGGGAUCCAGUUUGACAGAAUAGUUCUUUUGAGAGAAGAAAAAGAUAUGGAAAAUUAUGUUUGGUUCUUAAGGCUGCCUGGGUGUGAUAUAUGACAUCUCUAUCUGCAUUUCAUUGAUGAAAAUCACCAGCCACACUGGAUUAGGGCACACUGACGGGAUGUUAGCUUGAGUCUUUCAAAGGCCUUGUGUCCAAGUAUAGUCACAUUCUGAGAUACUCAACAGAUGGAUUUUAGACUGACACAUCUGCAGCCCAUGACAGCAUCAUUCCUGCCUUCUCUCAAAGGGUCCUGCAGCCAGAAAGAAUUUUGGAUGUCUGAAAGCCUUUUGGUCUCAUCUCUGUCCCUCUCACCUCAGGCUGCCAGCAUUUCUGCUGAUGUAAUAGUCACAAAGGCCCUGUUGCUCUCGGCAGCACGCUGUGGGCCAAGCCAGCUGACAAGAGGACCCACGCAGCACUGUCUGAAUGAACUCUGAGAACACUGAGAAGUGUUUCCGCUUCUUUGAAGAAGAUUGGUUGGAAGCCUCAUCCACUCACAAACCUCGUCUCAACAGCAAAAGGCUGGUCUUCUCCCUAGAGUAGGCCUCUCACAGUUUUGCUCUCUGGGAAUUUUCAAAACCUAGUGUCGCCUUUCCUUUUUGCUUAAUAGUUUCUAGCUCCAUUUAUGUCUUUCCUGUCCUAUCUUACUGUAAACAGCAAAAGAAACUCAGGCCACACCUUCCACACUUUGGCAGUCUCCUCAAAUUAAAAAAAAAGAAAAAGAGACCUCUGCCAAGUACCGAGGUUUAUCACUUGUAAGCGCUGCUUUCAUUUGACAGCAGAUUGUAAUUCAGCCAAGUUCCUGACACCGUUUCACAAGGUUUACCUUCCCUCCGGGGAUGAAGAACAUGUUAUCUCUGCCUUCUGGUCUUCUCCAGGAACACCUUUGAUAUUUAUGUUCUAUCAACAUCUGAUCACGAUAAUACACAGAUUCCUUAUGACAACAACUGCAGUUCUUGUCACUUCUUCUUGAGACAUUACCAGACUCUCCUUUAAUGCCCAUAUUUCUACCAACAAUCUCUUCAAGGCAAUUUUUGUUUUCUUCUAGUAAGUGUUUAAACUUUUUUCUAACUAUUACCAUCACUCCAUUCUUUUUUUAUUUUAAAGAUUAAAAAAACUAACAAAACAACAAUGAAGACAAGCCAAAAGAACACA